ACAUGUCUUUUUGGUUAUUUAAUAUAAAGUCUGACCUGCCCACUGAAUAUAGUUUUAAAGGGCCGCAGUAUUUUGACUGUGCAAAGGUAGCAUAAUCAUUAGUCUUUUAAUUGAAGGCUGGUAUGAAUGGUUGGAUGAGGUACAAGCUGUGUCAUAAAAAUUAAUAUUUGAAUUUACCUUUUUAGUCAAAAGGCUAAAAUUUUAUUAAAAGACGAGAAGACCCUAUAGAGCUUUAUAUAGUUAAUAUUUAGAUUAUUAAUAUUUUUUAAAUUUAAUUAUUUUAUUAUAUUUUGUUGGGGUGACAAUAAAAUUUAUAAAACUUUUAUUAUUAUUAUUCAUUAAUUUAUGUUUAAAUGAUCCAAUUUUAUUGAUUAUAAAUUUAAGUUACCUUAGGGAUAACAGCGUAAUUUUUUUUGAGAGUUCUUAUCGACAAAAAAGAUUGCGACCUCGAUGUUGGAUUAAGAGUAAUUUUGGGUGUAGAAGUUCAAAGUUUAAGUCUGUUCGACUUUUAAAUUCUUACAUGAUC
rnacentral:rRNA from 1 species